CCUACGGGAGGCAGCAGUAGGGAAUUUUCCGCAAUGGGCGAAAGCCUGACGGAGCAAUACCGCGUGAGGGAUGACUGCCUAUGGGUUGUAAACCUCUUUUUUCAGGGAGGAAUAAAUGACGUGUACCUGAAGAAUAAGCAUCGGCUAACUCCGUGCCAGCAGCCGCGGUAAGACGGAGGAUGCAAGUGUUAUCCGGAAUCACUGGGCGUAAAGCGUCUGUAGGUGGCUCGACAAGUCAACUGUUAAAUCUUGAAGCUCAACUUCAAAAUCGCAGUCGAAACUAUCGGACUAGAGUAUAGUAGAGGUAAAGGGAAUUUCCAGUGGAGCGGUGAAAUGCGUAGAGAUUGGAAAGAACACCGAUGGCGAAGGCACUUUACUGGGCUAUUACUGACACUCAGAGACGAAAGCUAGGGUAGCAAAUGGGAUUAGAUACCCCAGUAGUCCUAGCCGUAAACAAUAGAUACUAGUAGUG
rnacentral:rRNA from 1 species